AGUGAACGCUGGCGGUAGGCCUAACACAUGCCAGUCGAACGGCAGCACAGUAAGAGCUUGCUCUUACGGGUGGCGAGUGGCGGACGGGUGAGGAAUACAUCGGAAUCUGCUUUUUCGUGGGGGAUAACGUAGGGAAACUUACGCUAAUACCGCAUACGACCUACGGGUGAAAGCAGGGGAUCUUCGGACCUUGCGCGAUUGAAUGAGCCGAUGUCGGAUUAGCUAGUUGGCGGGGUAAAGGCCCACCAAGGCGACGAUCCGUAGCUGGUCUGAGAGGAUGAUCAGCCACACUGGAACUGAGACACGGUCCAGACUCCUACGGGAGGCAGCAGUGGGGAAUAUUGGACAAUGGGCGCAAGCCUGAUCCAGCCAUACCGCGUGGGUGAAGAAGGCCUUCGGGUUGUAAAGCCCUUUUGUUGGGAAAGAAAAGCAGCAGGUUAAUACCCCGCUGUUCUGACGGUACCCAAAGAAUAAGCACCGGCUAACUUCGUG
rnacentral:rRNA from 1 species